rnacentral:lncRNA from 1 species
AGUAUACUGUAUAUAUGUAGGAUGCAUUCUAGUUCUUAUAUUAGUUGUAGAAUUGAAUAUCAUGCCAUCAGAUGCCAUGACACUGUACUGUAAAGAGCCUAUAGUCCUAGCUAAAGAGCCUAGGUCCCACCAGAAGUCCAAGAAUAUAGAGCAGCAGUAUACGCAAUUACCUCGAGUAGAAAUACACAGAGAUGUAGAGAGUAGACUCCACAUGAUAUGUGGUAGGCCCAAGUCAUUUAGCCAGCCA